CGCGUAGGCGGGUUUGCAAGUCAGAGGUGAAAUCCUGCAGCUUAACUGCAGAACUGCCUUUGAUACUGCAGAUCUUGAGUUUGGAAGAGAGAGACGGAAUUCCAGGUGUAGUGGUGAAAUACGUAGAUAUCUGGAAGAACACCAGUGGCGAAGGCGGUCUCUUGGUCCAUAACUGACGCUGAGGCGCGAAAGCGUGGGGAGCAAACAGGAUUAGAUACCCUGGUAGUCC
rnacentral:rRNA from 1 species